GACGAACGCUGGCGGCGUGCCUAAUACAUGCAAGUAGAACGCUGAAGGAGGAGCUUACUUCUCUGGAUGAGUUGCGAAUGGGUGAGUAACGCGUAGGUAACCUGCCUGGUAGCGGGGGAUAACUAUUGGAAACGAUAGCUAAUACCGCAUAAGAGUAGAUGUUACAUGACAUUUACUUAAAAGGUGCAAUUGCACCACUACCAGAUGGACCUGGGUUGUAUUAGCUAGUUGGUGGGGUAACGGCUUACCAAGGCGACGAUACAUAGCCGACCUGAGAGGGUGAUUGGCCACACUGGGACUGAGACACGGCCCAGACUCCUACGGGGGGCAGCAGUAGGGAAUCUUCGGCAAUGGACGGAAGUCUGACCGAGCAACGCCGCGUGAGUGAAGAAGGUUUUCGGAUCGUAAAGCUCUGUUGUAAGAGAAGAACGAGUGUGAGAGUGGAAAGUUCACACUGUGGCGGUAUCUUACCAGAAAGGGACGGCUAACUACGUGCCAGCAGCCGCCGUAA
rnacentral:rRNA from 1 species